AACCGAGCCCCUAUUGAGAUCGACAAACUCAACAAAAAAGCUUUGAAUACAAUACAGAUAUUUCUUAGAAUUGAUGGUCAUCCUAUAAAAGUUACGGUCGUCCUAUAUAAAUUACAGUCAGUCUUUACAAAUUACGGUCAUCCUUUACAAGUUACGGUCAUCUUUUUACCAAUCACGGUCAUCCUUGUUUUAUGUUACGGUCA
rnacentral:lncRNA from 1 species